rnacentral:rRNA from 1 species
AGCGAACGUUAGCGGCGCGCCUAACACAUGCAAGUCGCACGAGAAACGGAGCAAUCCGCGGUACAGUGGCGCACGGGUGAGUAACACGUGGAUGACCUUCCCCGGAGUGGUGGAUGACCUGCCGAAAGGCGGGCUAAUACAGCAUGGGACCACGACGCUUUGGCGAUGUGGUGAAAGCGGGCCUCUAUAUAUAAGCUCGCGCUCCGGGACGGGUCCGCGUCCCAUCAGCUAGUUGGUGAGGUAACGGCUCACCAAGGCUUCGACGGGUAGCUGGUCUGAGAGGAUGGCCAGCCACACUGGAACUGAGACACGGUCCAGACUCCUACGGGAGGCAGCAGUGGGGAAUCUUGCGCAAUGGGCGAAAGCCUGACGCAGCGACGCCGCGUGGGCGAAGAAGGCC